rnacentral:rRNA from 1 species
UACGUAGGGUGCAAGCGUUGUCCGGAAUUAUUGGGCGUAAAGAGCUCGUAGGUGGUCUGUUGCGUCCGCUGUGAAAACCUAAGGCUUAACCUUGGGCCUGCAGUGGAUACGGGCAGACUAGAGGUAGGUAGGGGAGAAUGGAAUUCCCGGUGUAGCGGUGAAAUGCGCAGAUAUCGGGAGGAACACCGGUGGCGAAGGCGGUUCUCUGGGCCUUACCUGACACUGAGGAGCGAAAGCGUGGGGAGCGAACAGG